UCCGGGCGGACGCCGAGUCCUGCCGCCGCCCGGAUGACCGGUCGACAGGAGUGGAUCGGCAGGAGUGGAGGACCCAAGCACGACGGGUCGCCGGUACGGAGUCUCUCCGCGCCGAGCAGCCCUUGGGGUGAAGCCGCUUUCCGCGGCCGGGCAACUUCGCCAGCCCGAAUCCGACAGGUCAUCCUUCACAGGCGGCUGACGAAGGGUUG
rnacentral:sRNA from 2 species